UGAAUUUUAUCUACAGAUGUAUUUAUCCCUUGCCUGUAUCUCCAUAGCCAUCAUGACGAUAUGUUCAGAAUCAGAUGAACGUGAGAUACUAUUAGAAUCUCAAUAAUAUACUAUAUUAUAAUGAUGAAAGCACUGCUUUAUUCUGCAGUUUAUGCUCAAGUACUUGUGUGUAUUAGUCUGAGUCUAACGUGACGGUGCUUUGUUGACGUUGAGUCUUUGUCCUUGUCUGUGCUGUGGUGUCCUACCCUGAGGAGGUGGAUGUGAUUGUUGAGACACUGCAGGGCGUCUUUACCAAGGGAGUCUGUAGCAGCACCCUGAGCUGACCCUGACAACUCUGGGGCUGAUGCCGCACCAAAGACUACUUUCUCAGCCCGUGAGCCUGGGGCGCCACCCGCUCAAAAUAUGGUCGCACUCAAAUGGACCCUCCGCAGGGUUUCGAACCCCUGCAGGCACAAAAGAGUAAGAAGGCUCCUAUUGCUAUGUGCAUGUUUAUGGUGGGUCUGUGGUCAAGGUACGACAGGCCCGGUUGACAAAGCCUCUCCUGAAGAAUAGUGGGGCCCAGCCAGGCCCAAACAUCCUGACGGAGAGAGGCUUUUCCCUUAUCAGUCAGGAAACACCGCUUCUCCGCCACAUCCUCUUUACAAGAAGCACGACUCAACCGUUCCCAAAAAAUGCAGGAAGACCAGCCAGACUCCAGGAUUUGUCAAAAGCCCCCUGAAUUCCUUUUAUCGAAAAAGAAAAAUUCAAGAG